rnacentral:rRNA from 1 species
AGAGUUUGAUCCUGGCUCAGGAUGAACGCUGGCGGCGUGCCUAAUACAUGCAAGUCGAGCGAACGGACGAGAAGCUUGCUUCUCUGAUGUUAGCGGCGGACGGGUGAGUAACACGUGGAUAACCUACCUAUAAGACUGGGAUAACUUCGGGAAACCGGAGCUAAUACCGGAUAAUAUUUUGAACCGCAUGGUUCAAAAGUGAAAGACGGUCUUGCUGUCACUUAUAGAUGGAUCCGCGCUGCAUUAGCUAGUUGGUAAGGUAACGGCUUACCAAGGCAACGAUGCAUAGCCGACCUGAGAGGGUGAUCCGCCCACACUGGAACUGAGACACGGUCCAGACUCCUACGGGAGGCAGCAGUAGGGAAUCUUCCGCAAUGGGCGAAAGCCUGACGGAGCAACGCCGCGUGAGUGAUGAAGGUCUUCGGAUCGUAAAACUCUGUUAUUAGGGAAGAACAUAUGUGUAAGUAACUGUGCACAUCUUGACGGUACCUAAUCAGAAAGCCACGGCUAACUACGUGCCAGCAGCCGCGGUAAUACGUAGGUGGCAAGCGUUAUCCGGAAUUAUUGGGCGUAAAGCGCGCGUAGGCGGUUUUUUAAGUCUGAUGUGAAAGCCCACGGCUCAACCGUGGAGGGUCAUUGGAAACUGGAAAACUUGAGUGCAGAAGAGGAAAGUGGAAUUCCAUGUGUAGCGGUGAAAUGCGCAGAGAUAUGGAGGAACACCAGUGGCGAAGGCGACUUUCUGGUCUGUAACUGACGCUGAUGUGCGAAAGCGUGGGGAUCAAACAGGAUUAGAUACCCUGGUAGUCCACGCCGUAAACGAUGAGUGCUAAGUGUUAGGGGGUUUCCGCCCCUUAGUGCUGCAGCUAACGCAUUAAGCACUCCGCCUGGGGAGUACGACCGCAAGGUUGAAACUCAAAGGAAUUGACGGGGACCCGCACAAGCGGUGGAGCAUGUGGUUUAAUUCGAAGCAACGCGAAGAACCUUACCAAAUCUUGACAUCCUUUGACAACUCUAGAGAUAGAGCCUUCCCCUUCGGGGGACAAAGUGACAGGUGGUGCAUGGUUGUCGUCAGCUCGUGUCGUGAGAUGUUGGGUUAAGUCCCGCAACGAGCGCAACCCUUAAGCUUAGUUGCCAUCAUUAAGUUGGGCACUCUAAGUUGACUGCCGGUGACAAACCGGAGGAAGGUGGGGAUGACGUCAAAUCAUCAUGCCCCUUAUGAUUUGGGCUACACACGUGCUACAAUGGACAAUACAAAGGGCAGCGAAACCGCGAGGUCAAGCAAAUCCCAUAAAGUUGUUCUCAGUUCGGAUUGUAGUCUGCAACUCGACUACAUGAAGCUGGAAUCGCUAGUAAUCGUAGAUCAGCAUGCUACGGUGAAUACGUUCCCGGGUCUUGUACACACCGCCCGUCACACCACGAGAGUUUGUAACACCCGAAGCCGGUGGAGUAACCUUUUAGGAGCUAGCCGUCGAAGGUGGGACAAAUGAUUGGGGUGAAGUCGUAACAAGGUAGCCGUAUCGGAAGGUGCGGCUG